rnacentral:misc_RNA from 1 species
AUCGGCUGGGGCGAGCGCAUCGAUCACAUUAGGUGUAAAAGGUCCGUAGGCGGUUCAGGUAUGGGCAGGGAGGUCACCCCUUCGAGGAAACGGAGGAAGCUUCCUGCAUCACUGGACUUGGAGUCUCCGAGGGGAAAGUAGAACACGAGAGUGACUGAUGAAAUAGGACGACCUCCUUCGUGGAAUACCGGUGGCGAAGGCGACUUUCUGGCGGAGGACUGACGCUGAGGGACGAAAGUCCGGGGAGCGAAUCGG